AGGAAGAGCGGCCGAGAAGCCUGGGGAAAACGGUGGUGGAGACAGUUGUGAGGAAUUACGGGGAGUAAAGCGCAAGUAGGCGUAACGGAAAGUUGGAGGUGAGAUCCCAGGACUCAAUCGUGGAACUGCAUUCAAAACGAUCGGGCUGUAGUUCGAGAUAGGUGAGUGGAAGUCCGAGUGUAGAGGGGAAAUUCGUAGAUAUUCGGAGGAACACCAGUGGCGAAGGCGGCUCACAGGCUCGAUACUGACGCUGAGGUGCGAAAGCGUGGGGAGCAAACAGGAUUAGAUACCCCAGUAGUC
rnacentral:rRNA from 1 species